GACGAACGCUGGCGGCGUGCUUAACACAUGCAAGUCGAACGGAAAGGCCCUGCUUUUGUGGGGUGCUCGAGUGGCGAACGGGUGAGUAACACGUGAGUAACCUGCCCUUGACUUUGGGAUAACUUCAGGCAACUGGGGCUAAUACCGGAUAGGAGCUCCUGCUGCAUGGUGGGGGUCGGAAAGCUUCGGCGGUUGGGGAUGGACUCGCGGCUUAUCAGCUUGUUGGUGGGGUAGUGGCUUACCAAGGCUUUGACGGGUAGCCGGCCUGAGAGGGUGACCGGCCACAAGAGGACUAAGGUACGGCCCAGACUCCAACGGGAGGCAGCAGUGGAGAAUAUUACACAAUGGGCGGAAGCCUGAUGCAACAACGCCGCGUGCGUGAUGACGGCCUUCGGGUUAUAAACCGCUUUCGCCUGUGACGAAGCGUGAGUGACGGUAAUAAGUAAAGAAGCACCGGCUAACUACGUG
rnacentral:rRNA from 1 species